UGAGUCGCUUGAUGCUGACUUGCUGAGUAAUGUCAUGCUUUCUUAAGGCUGAGUUGGUUAGUAAAACAAAUUAAAGGCACGUAAAACUCAUAAACCCAUAAACACAUAAACAAUAAACACGUAAAACGUUGUACUCGUAUGUUCUUAAUUACUGUAUGUAUCACGCAUUUUUUUGGGUUCCAUGGCCGACAAAAUCCGAAACAAUUAGGGAAGUCAUUACAUAAGUGCAGUUCUCCACCCUGGAAAUUCGCACUGCGAGAACUGCACUGCAAUUCGCAACAUUUUACACUUUGGCGAAUCACACUUGCCGCAGUGAAGGUGUCAAUUUGGCUCGAGAACUAGAUGAAAAAGUGAUGAAGGCUUGGAUCGGUCAUCCUUAUCUAGAAGUUAUGGACAACACAACAACAUUUGACAUGAAGAUGCGACGCCUUGUUCAAUCUGUUUGCGCUCGUCUUGGACUCGAUACCGGUGAUCGUUUGUUGCCAAACAGUCGGAAAGAAAGUUUCUCGUUCGUGAGAUGCA